GCCGCCGCGGUAAUACGAAGGGUGCAAGCGUUAAUCGGAAUUACUGGGCGUAAAGGGUGUGUAGGUGGCCUGUUAAGUCUGUCGUGAAAGCCCCGGGCUCAACCUGGGAACUGCGGUGGAUACUGGCGGGCUCGAGUACGGUAGAGGGUGGUGGAAUUCCCGGUGUAGCGGUGAAAUGCGUAGAGAUCGGGAGGAACAUCAGUGGCGAAGGCGGCCACCUGGACCAGUACUGACACUGAGACACGAAAGCGUGGGGAGCAAACAGG
rnacentral:rRNA from 1 species